rnacentral:rRNA from 1 species
CCUACGGGAGGCUGCAGUGGGGAAUAUUGGGCAAUGGGCGCAAGCCUGACCCAGCAACGCCGCGUGAAGGCAGAAGGCUUUCGGGUUGUAAACUUCUUUUCUCAGGGACGAAGCAAGUGACGGUACCUGAGGAAUAAGCCACGGCUAACUACGUGCCAGCAGCCGCGGUAAUACGUAGGUGGCAAGCGUGGUCCGGAUUUACUGGGUGUAAAGGGCGUGUAGCCGGGUUGACAAGUCAGAUGUGAAAUCCUGCGGCUUAACCGCAGAACUGCAUUUGAAACUGUUGAUCUUGAGUACUGGAGAGGCAGACGGAAUUCCUAGUGUAGCGGUGAAAUGCGUAGAUAUUAGGAGGAAGACCAGUGGCGAAGGCGGUCUGCUGGACAGCAACUGACGGGGAGGCGCGAAAGCGUGGGGAGCAAACAGGAUUAGAUACCCUGGUAGUC